GCCGGCGUAGCUCAGUGGAUUAGAGCACUUGUCUUCGGAACAAGGGGUCGUAGGUUCGAAUCCUACCGCCGGUACCA
rnacentral:tRNA from 1 species